UUACCGGAUUAAUCCAUCUUCAGUUUCUCUUUUCCAUUGUCGAGACAACUCUCAAAGGAAGAAAAAUAAAUCCCAAAACCUAAUAUGAGAAUUCAAUACCGAAAAUAUAGAUAUGAGAAUCAAAUAAACACAUCAAGCAAGUAGUAGGUUCAGUUGAAAUCAAAUUGAAUAACCUAAAUCAUCGUCAGCAGUAUCAGUUCAUGAAGAACAAUUCAGAAAUGAAAGAAAAGGUUGAGGAGAAUCGAUGCAGAAAACCAAAUUUAAGAUUUCAUCUACUAUUGGAAGGAUCAGUUGACGUGACAUUAGACAUGGCGCAAGAUCUCAUCGGAGCUGCAGAUCAGUAUCUUUUGGCCGGGCUUAAGCGUCUUUGUGAAUAUGCAAUUGCACAGGAUGUAACUUUGGAAAUGUCUCAACCUUGUACGAGCUAUCGGAGAACUUCCAUGUAAUGUCAUUGAGGGACAUAUGCAUCCUUUUAAUUCUGGAGCACUUCGAAAAAAUUGAGUGAGAGGCCAGGACAUGCUCAUCUCAUCCAAUUUUCACUAUUGUGGAUGUAAACACCACCUGGAGUGGAGCAAGCCGUGGAUCAUAAGGGAAUACGUCCCCGUAGGGCCUCUAUUGGUGUUUGCAAACCCGCCCUUCCUUAUCAUCGGUACAUAUACAUGUGAGCCAAUAGAUUUAAAUAUGUUGGUAGUAAUGUAACGUCUGAUUCUUGUCUGCUAUUGAGCAUUUAUUUCAUUAUCAGUAUUCGGAUUUUGGGUACAUCUUGUAUGAGAUCAAACAAUUACAGGAAAGAAA